rnacentral:rRNA from 1 species
CGUGUAGGCGGGAAGACAAGUCUGAUGUGAAAGCCCCGGGCUUAACCUGGGAAGUGCAUUGGAAACUGUUUUUCUUGAGUACUGGAGAGGAAGGGGGAAUUCCCGGUGUAGAGGUGAAAUUCGUAGAGAUCGGGAGGAAUAUCAGUGGCGAAGGCGCCCUUCUGGACGGAUACUGACGCUGAGACGCGAAAGCGUGGGGAGCAAACA